UACAGAGGGUGCAAGCGUUGUUCGGAAUUACUGGGCGUAAAGCGCGUGUAGGCGGCGGCGUAAGUCGAAUGUGAAAGCCCUUGGCUAAACCAAGGAAGUGCAUUCGAUACUGUGUCGCUUGAGUACCGGAGGGGAUGGCGGAAUUCCUGGUGUAGAGGUGAAAUUCGUAGAUAUCAGGAGGAACACCUGUGGCGAAGGCGGCCAUCUGGACGGUGACUGACGCUGAGACGCGAAAGCGUGGGUAGCAAACAGG
rnacentral:rRNA from 1 species